rnacentral:rRNA from 1 species
GAUGAACGCUAGCGGCAGGCCUAAUACAUGCAAGUCAAGGGGUUCAGCAAUGGACACCGGCGGACGGGUGCGUAACACGUACACAACGUACCCAAGGGCGGGGGAAAGCGGCGGGAAACUGCCGGUAAUACCCCAUGGCGUUGUAGAAUGGCAUCAUUUUACAACUAAAGUACAAGCGCCCUUGGAUCGGUGUGCGCCCGAUUAGCUUGUUGGCGGGGUAACGCCACCAAGGCUUCGAUCGGUAGGGGGUGUGAGAGCAUGGCCCCCCCACACGGGUACUGAGACACGGACCCGACUCCUACGGGAGGCCAGCAGUAAGGAAUAUUGGACAAUGGGCGGAAGCCUGAUCCAGCCAUGCCGCGUGAAGGAUGAAGGCGCUC